rnacentral:rRNA from 1 species
GACGAACGCUGGCGGCGUGCUUAACACAUGCAAGUCGAACGGAAAGGCCCUGCUUUUGUGGGGUGCUCGAGUGGCGAACGGGUGAGUAACACGUGAGUAACCUGCCCUUGACUUUGGGAUAACUUCAGGAAACUGGGGCUAAUACCGGAUAGGAGCUCCUGCUGCAUGGUGGGGGUUGGAAAGUUUCGGCGGUUGGGGAUGGACUCGCGGCUUAUCAGCUUGUUGGUGGGGUAGUGGCUUACCAAGGCUUCGACGGGUAGCCGGCCUGAGAGGGUGACCGGCCACAUUGGGACGGAGAUACGGCCCGGACUCCUACGGGAGGCAGCAGUGGGGAAUAUUGCACAAUGGGGGGAAGCCGGAUGCAGCAACGCCGCGUUCGGGAUGACGGCCUGCGGGUUGGAAACCGCUUUCGCCUGUGACGAAGCGUGAGUGACGGUAAUGAGUAAAGAAGCACCGGCUAACUACGUG